UACGGAGGGUGCGAGCGUUGUCCGGAAUCACUGGGCGUAAAGGGCGCGUAGGCGGCUUGGCAAGUCUGUGGUGAAAGCUCGCGGCUCAACUGCGAGUCGGCCAUUGAUACUCCUAAGCUCGAGUCGACUAGAGGCAGAUGGAAUUCCGGGUGUAGCGGUGGAAUGCGUAGAGAUCCGGAAGAACACCGGUGGCGAAGGCGGUCUGCUGGGGUCGAACUGACGCUGAGGCGCGACAGCGUGGGGAGCAAACAGG
rnacentral:rRNA from 1 species